UGCAGAAUCCCGUGAACCAUCGAGUCUUUGAACGCAAGUUGCGCCCGAGGCCACUCGGUCGAGGGCACGCCUGCUUGGGCGUCACGCCAAAACACGCUUCCAACUCCCUCAUCGGAGAUAGGGAUGCGGCAUAUGGCCCCUCGUCUUGCAAGGGACGGUGAGCCGAAGAUUGGGCUGCCGAUGUAUCGUGUCGGACACAGCGCAUGGUGGGCAUCUUUGUUUUAUCAGCGCAGUGCAUUCGAUGCGUAGCCGGCAUGACGGCCUAAAAAGACCCAACUAACGGAGUGCUUGACGCUUUGAUCGCGACCCCAAGUCAGGCGGGACUACCCGCUGAGUUUAAGCAUAUAAAUAAGCGGAGGAGAAGAAACUUACAAGGAUUCCCCUAGUAACGGCGAGCGAACCGGGAACAGCCCAGCUUGAGAAUCGGGCGGCUGAGCCGUUCGA
rnacentral:rRNA from 1 species